rnacentral:rRNA from 1 species
CCUACGGGAGGCAGCAGUGGGGGAUAUUGCACAAUGGGGGCAACCCUGAUGCAGCGACGCCGCGUGAGUGAAGAAGUAUUUCUGUAUGUAAAGCUCUAUCAGCAGGGAAGAAAAUGACAGUACCUGACCAAGAAGCCACGGCUAACUACGUGCCAGCAGCCGCGGUAAUACGGAGGGGGCAAGCGUUAUCCGGAUGUACUGGGUGUAAAGGGGGCGUAGACGGUUAUGUAAGUCUGUAGUGAAAGCCCGGGGCCCAACCCCGGAACUGCUUUGGAAACUGUGUAACUGGAGUACAGGAGGGGCAGGCGGAAUGCCUGGUGUAGCGGUGAAAUGCGUAGAUAUCAGGAGGAACACCGGCGGCGAAGGCGGCCUGCUGGACUGAGACUGACGUUGAGGCUCGAAAGCGUGGGGAGCAAACAGGAUUAGAUACCCGGGUAGUC